rnacentral:lncRNA from 1 species
GAAAAGAAAAGAAAAAUAAUUACUGGUCAAACUGGGAAAGAAAAAGAAAAGAAAAGGUAAAUUAAAAAAAUGUAAAUGAAGACUUAGAUGUACAUAAAGUAAAAGUGUAACCACAGACAGAUGGGGACCCUUGUAAGGAGAAAAAAAAAGUUUAGUAAGAGUGAAAGAGCAUGCAUAGCAUACAGAUGAGUAGCCAUGAGUAGUUUCCCAUGUGCUAUCCAUCCACAUCACAAACCCUUCUCUUUUUCUUUUUCUUGUUUCAUCAGAAUCUCUGUAAUUUCUUUCACCCUUUUAGCUACAGAUUCAUUAUUCACUUGUUUGAUGCAUCUUUCAAGCAAGCACACCACACUACAUUGCUGCUUUCUGAUGGCUCACUUUUGGUUUAGAACAAAAUUCAGAACCUUC